CAUCUGUUGAAAAAGAUCGGGAUGAGGUGUGCCUAGGGGUGAAAGGCCAAUCAAACUCGGAGAUAGCUGGUUCUCUGCGAAAUCUAUUUAGGUAGAGCGUCACGAUUAGACUCUGGGGGGUAGAGCACUGAAUGGGCUAGGGGUCCUCACCGGAUUACCAAACCUUCUCAAACUCCGAAUACCCAGAAGUUAUGCGUGGCAGACACACGGCGGGUGCUAACGUCCGUCGUGAAAAGGGAAACAACCCAGACCGCCAAUUAAGGCCCCUAAGUAAUAGCUAAGUGCGAAACGAUGUGGAGGUGCUGAGACAAUCAGGAGGUUGGCUUAGAAGCAGCCAUCCUUUAAAGAAAGCGUAACAGCUCACUGAUCAAGCGCCUCUGCGCGGAAAAUGUAUCGGGACUAAAGUUAUUCGCCGAAAUUGCGGACUCGAAAGAGUGGUAGCGGAGCGUUCCGUAAGCCUGUGAAGGUGAACCGUGAGGUUUGCUGGAGGUAUCGGAAGUGAGAAUGCUGACAUGAGUAGCGACAAACAGGGUGAGAGACCCUGUCGCCGAAAGACCAAGGGUUCCUGCGUAA
rnacentral:rRNA from 14 species